AGGAGCAGGCCCAACCCACGUCGCCUCUGUCUUCAAUCUCUGCCAGUAGGCAGAGGGAGAGAGACGACACGGCGCCGGCUGUGCCACCUCCUGCUUCGCGCUGGAGGCGCCUCCUCCACCCUUAUCCCACGGCCUAGAAGAUGUGGACGAGGCUCUAGAGGAGACAUUAAUCUCAUUAAUGGAUCUACAUGAUGUGUACGGUGUUGACCGGAUUAGCUUGGGAAUCCCAGACAGAGGUGUGGCUCCUAUGAUAGGGUCGUUGUAGCUUUUUAGGCUCUUUCAGCCAUUUUUAAUAGAUUUCUGUACCCAGACAUGUUGUGCUUCCGCUUGAUGCUUGUAUGACUUGAGUGUUGGAUCAUGUGACCCCUGUUUGUAAUAUCACACUACGUUGGCUCUUAUGAGUCUUUAAUAAAUGCUUGAUUCGUAGAGUUGUGUUGUGA